rnacentral:rRNA from 1 species
AUACAGGGCUUAAAGUCUUGUAAUUGGAAUGAUGGGAAUCUAAACCCUUCCCAGAGUAUCAAUUGGAGGGCAAGUCUGGUGCCAGCAGCCGCGGUAAUUCCAGCUCCAAUAGCGUAUAUUAAAGUUGUUGCAGUUAAGAAGCUCGUAGUUGAAUUUCUGCCUUGUCAUUAAUCUCGCUUCCGAGCGUUUUUUUAUUGACUUGGCAUCUUCUGGAUUUGGUGCCUUCGGGUACUAUUUUCCAGGAUUUACUUUGAGAAAACUAGAGUGUUUCAAACAGGCAUUCGCCUUGAAUACUACAGCAUGGAAUAAUGAAGUAGGACUUUGGUUCUAUUUUGUUGGUUAUUGAGCCAGAGUAAUGGGGAAUAGGAGCA